rnacentral:lncRNA from 1 species
GGAAGAGACCAACAACACUGCUCACCCCUGCCCACAUCCCUGGCCCAAGAGGAAACUGUAUAAGGCCUCUGGGCUCCCGUGGGGGAGGGCCCAGGAGCAGCAGGACACCUGCCUGAGACACCACCGGAACCGGAAAGAAACAGACCAGAUAAACAGUUCUCUGCACCCAAAUCCCGUGGGAGGGAGAGCUAAACCUUCAGAGAGGCAGACAAGCCUGGGAAACCAGAAGAGACUGCUCCCUGCACACACAUCUCGGACGCCAGAGGAAAAAGCCAAAGACCAUCUGGAACCCUGGUGCACUGAAGCUCCCGGAAGGGGCGGCACAGGUCUUCCUGGUUGCUGCCGCUGCAGAGAGCCCCUGGGCAGCACCCCACGAGCGAACCUGAGCCUCGGGACCACAGGUAAGACCAACUUUUCUGCUGCAAGAAAGCUGCCUGGUGAACUCAAGACACAGGCCCACAGGAACAGCUGAAGACCUGUAGAGAGGAAAAACUACACGCCCGAAAGCAGAACACUCUGUCCCCAUAACUGACUGAAAGAGAGGAAAACAGGUCUACAGCACUCCUGACACACAGGCUUAUAGGACAGUCUAGCCACUGUCAGAAAUAGCAGAACAAAGUAACACUAGAGAUAAUCUGAUGGCGAGAGGCAAGCGCAGGAACCCAAGCAACAGAAACCAAGACUACAUGCCAUCAUCGGAGCCCAAUUCUCCAACCAAAACAAACAUGGAAUAUUCAAACACACCAGAAAAGCAAGAUCUAGUUUCAAAAUCAUAUUUGAUCAUGAUGCUGGAGGACUUCAAGAAAGACAUGAACACACUUAGGGAAACACAGGAAAACAUUAAUAAACAAGUAGAAGCCUACAGAGAGGAAUCGCAAAAAUCCCUGAAAGAAUUCCAGGAAAACACAAUCAAACAGUUGAAGGAAUUAAAAAUGGAAAUAGAAGCAAUCAAGAAAGAACACAUGGAAACAACCCUGGAUAUAGAAAACCAAAAGAAGAGACAAGGAGCUGUAGAUACAAGCUUCACCAACAGAAUACAAGAGAUGGAAGAGAGAGAGCAGAAGAUUCCAUAGAAAUCAUUGACUCAACUGUCAAAGAUAAUGUAAAGCUGAAAAAGCUACUGGUCCAAAACAUACAGGAAAUCCAGGACUCAAUGAGAAGAUCAAACCUAAGGAUAAUAGGUAUAGAAGAGAGUGAAGACUCCCAGCUCAAAGGACCAGUAAAUAUCUUCAACAAAAUCAUAGAAGAAAACUUCCCUAACCUAAAAAAAGAGAUACCCAUAGACAUACAAGAAGCCUACAGAACUCCAAAUAGAUUGGACCAGAAAAGAAACAUCUCCCGUCACAUAAUUGUCAAAACACCAAACGCACAAAAUAAAGAAAGAAUAUUAAAAGCAGUAAGGGAAAAAGGUCAAGUAACAUAUAAAGGCAGACCUAUCAGAAUCACACCAGACUUCUCGCCAGAAACUAUGAAGGCCAGAAGAUCCUGGACUGAUGUCAUACAGACCCUAAGAGAACACAAAUGCCAGCCCAGGAUACUGUAUCCAGCAAAACUCUCAAUUAACAUUGAUGGAGAAACCAAGAUAUUCCAUGACAAAACCAAAUUUACACAAUAUCUUUCUACAAAUCCAGCACUACAAAGGAUAAUAAAUGGUAAAGCCCAACAUAAGGAGGCAAGCUAUACCCUAGAAGAAGCAAGAAACUAAUCGUCUUGGCAACAAAACAAAGAGAAUGAAAGCACACAAACAUAACCUCACAUCCAAAUAUGAAUAUAAAGGGAAACAAUAAUCACUAUUCCUUAUUAUCUCUCAAUAUCAAUGGCCUCAACUCCCCAAUAGAAAGACAUAGAUUAACAAACUGGAUACGCAACGAGGACCCUGCAUUCUGCUGCCUACAGGAAACACACCUCAGAGACAAAGACAGACACUACCUCAGAGUGAAAGGCUGGAAAACAACUUUCCAAGCAAAUGGUCAGAAGAAGCAAGCUGGAGUAGCCAUUCUAAUAUCAAAUAAAAUCAAUUUCCAACUAAAAGUCAUCAAAAAAGAUAAGGAAGGACACUUCAUAUUCAUCAAAGGAAAAAUCCACCAAGAUGAACUCUCAAUCCUAAAUAUCUAUGCCCCAAAUACAAGGGCACCUACAUACAUAAAAGAAACCUUACUAAAGCUCAAAACACACAUUGCACCUCACACAAUAAUAGUGGGAGAUUUCAACACCCCACUCUCAUCAAUGGACAGAUCAUGGAAACAGAAAUUAAACAGUGAUGUCGACAGACUAAGAGAAGUCAUGAGCCAAAUGGACUUAACAGAUAUUUAUAGAACAUUCUAUCCUAAAGCAAAAGGAUAUACCUUCUUCUCAGCUCCUCAUGGCACUUUCUCCAAAAUUGACCAUAUAAUUGGUCAAAAAACGGGCCUCAACAGGUACAGAAAGAUAGAAAUAAUCCCAUGCGUGCUAUCGGACCACCACGGCCUAAAACUGGUCUUCAAUAACAAUAAGGGAAGAAUGCCCACAUAUACGUGGAAAUUGAACAAUGCUCUACUCAAUGAUAACCUGGUCAAGGAAGAAAUAAAGAAAGAAAUUAAAUACUUUUUAGAAUUUAAUGAAAAUGAAGGUACAACAUAUCCAAACUUAUGGGACACAAUGAAAGCUGUGCUAAGAGGAAAACUCAUAGCGCUGAGUGCCUGCAGAAAGAAACAGGAAAGAGCAUAUGUCAGCAGCUUGACAGCACACCUAAAAGCUCUAGAACAAAAAGAAUCAAAUACACCCAGGAGGAGUAGAAGGCAGGAAAUAAUCAAACUCAGAGCUGAAAUCAACCAAGUAGAAACAAAAAGGACCAUAGAAAGAAUCAACAGAACCAAAAGUUGGUUCUUUGAGAAAAUCAACAAGAUAGAUAAACCCUUAGCCAGACUAACGAGAGGACACAGAGAGUGUGUCCAAAUUAACAAAAUCAGAAAUGAAAAGGGAGACAUAACUACAGAUUCAGAGGAAAUUCAAAAAAUCAUCAGAUCUUACUAUAAAAACCUAUAUUCAACAAAACUUGAAAAUCUUCAGGAAAUGGACAAUUUCCUAGACAGAUACCAGGUAUCGAAGUUAAAUCAGGAACAGAUAAACCAGUUAAACAACCCCACAACUCCUAAGGAAAUACAAGCAGUCAUUAAAGGUCUCCCAACCAAAAAGAGCCCAGGUCCAGACGGGUUUAGUGCAGAAUUCUAUCAAACCUUCAUAGAAGACCUCAACCAAUAUUAUCCAAACUAUUCCACAAAAUUGAAACAGAUGGAGCCCUACCGAAUUCCUUCUACGAAGCCACAAUUACUCUUAUACCUAAACCACACAAAGACACAACAAAGAAAGAGAACUUCAGACCAAUUUCCCUUAUGAAUAUCGACGCAAAAAUACUCAAUAAAAUUCUGGCAAACCGAAUUCAAGAGCACAUCAAAACAAUAAUCCACCAUGAUCAAGUAGGCUUCAUCCCAGGCAUGCAGGGAUGGUUUAAUAUACGGAAAACCAUCAACGUGAUCCAUUAUAUAAACAAACUGAAAGAACAGAACCACAUGAUCAUUUCAUUAGAUGCUGAGAAAGCAUUUGACAAAAUUCAACACCCCUUCAUGAUAAAAGUCCUGGAAAGAAUAGGAAUUCAAGGCCCAUACCUAAACAUAGUAAAAGCCAUAUACAGCAAACCAGUUGCUAACAUUAAACUAAAUGGAGAGAAACUUGAAGCAAUCCCACUAAAAUCAGGGACUAGACAAGGCUGCCCACUCUCUCCCUACUUAUUCAAUAUAGUUCUUGAAGUUCUAGCCAGAGCAAUCAGACAACAAAAGGAGAUCAAAGGGAUACAGAUCGGAAAAGAAGAGGUCAAAAUAUCACUAUUUGCAGAUGACAUGAUAGUAUAUUUAAGUGAUCCCAAAAGUUCCACCAGAGAACUACUAAAGCUGAUAAACAACUUCAGCAAAGUGGCUGGGUAUAAAAUUAACUCAAAUAAAUCAGUUGCCUUCCUCUAUACAAAAGAGAAACAAGCCGAGAAAGAAAUUAGGGAAACGACACCCUUCAUAAUAGACCCAAAUAAUAUAAAGUACCUCGGUGUGACUUUAACCAAGCAAGUAAAAGAUCUGUACAAUAAGAACUUCAAGACACUGAGGAAAGAAAUUGAAGAAGACCUCAGAAGAUGGAAAGAUCUCCCAUGCUCAUGGAUUGGCAGGAUUAAUAUAGUAAAAAUGGCCAUUUUACCAAAAGCAAUCUACAGAUUCAAUGCAAUCCCCAUCAAAAUACCAAUCCAAUUCUUCAAAGAGUUAGACAGAACAAUUUGCAAAUUCAUCUGGAAUAACAAAAAACCCAGGAUAGCUAAAGCUAUCCUCAACAAUAAAAGGACUUCAGGGGGAAUCACUAUCCCUGAACUCAAGCAGUAUUACAGAGCAAUAGUGAUAAAAACUGCAUGGUAUUGGUACAGAGACAGACAGAUAGACCAAUGGAAUAGAAUUGAAGACCCAGAAAUGAACCCACACACCUAUGGUCACUUGAUUUUUGACAAAGGAGCCAAAACCAUCAAAUGGAAAAAAGAUAGCAUUUUCAGCAAAUGGUGCUGGUUCAACUGGAGGGCAACAUGUAGAAGAAUGCAGAUCGAUCCAUGCUUAUCACCCUGUACAAAGCUUAAGUCCAAGUGGAUCAAGGACCUCCACAUCAAACCAGACACACUCAAACUAAUAGAAGAAAAACUAGGGAAGCAUCUGGAACACAUGGGCACUGGAAAAAAUUUCCUGAACAAAACACCAAUGGCUUAUGCUCUAAGAUCAAGAAUCGACAAAUGGGAUCUCAUAAAACUGCAAAGCUUCUGUAAGGCAAAGGACACUGUGGUUAGGACAAAACGGCAACCAACAGAUUGGGAAAAGAUCUUUACCAAUCCUACAACAGAUAGAGGCCUUAUAUCCAAAAUAUACAAAGAACUCAAGAAGUUAGACCGCAGGGAAACAAAUAACCCUAUUAAAAAAUGGGGUUCAGAGCUAAACAAAGAAUUCACAGCUGAGGAAUGCCGAAUGGCUGAGAAACACCUAAAGAAAUGUUCAACAUCUUUACUCAUAAGGGAAAUGCAAAUCAAAACAACCCUGAGAUUUCACCUCACACCAGUGCAAUUGGCUAAGAUCAAAAACUCAGGUGACAGCAGAUGCUGGCGAGGAUGUGGAGAAAGAGGAACACUCCUCCAUUGUUGGUGGGAUUGCAGACUGGUAAAACCAUUGUGGAAAUCAGUCUGGAGGUUCCUCAGAAAAUUGGACAUUGAACUGCCUGAGGAUCCAGCUAUACCUCUCUUGGGCAUAUACCCAAAAGAUGCCUCAACAUAUAAAAGAGACACGUGCUCCACUAUGUUCAUCGCAGCCUUAUUUAUAAUAGCCAGAAACUGGAAAGAACCCAGAUGCCCUUCAACAGAGGAAUGGAUACAGAAAAUGUGGUACAUCUACACAAUGGAAUAUUACUCAGCUAUCAAAAACAACGAGUUUAUGAAAUUCGUAGGCAAAUGGUCGGAACUGGAAAAUAUCAUCCUGAGUGAGCUAACCCAAUCACAGAAAGACAUACAUGGUAUGCACUCAUUGAUAAGUGGCUAUUAGCCCAAAUGCUUGAAUUACCCUAGAUCCCUAGAACAAACGAAACUCAAGACGGAUGAUCAAAAUGUGAAUGCUUCACUCCUUCUUUAAAUGAGGAAAAAGAAUACCCUUGGCAGGGAAGGGAGAGGCAAAGAUUAAAACAGAGACUUAAGGAACACCCAUUCAGAGCCUGCCCCACAUGUGGCCCAUACAUAUACAGCCACCCAAUUAGACAAGAUGGAUGAAGCAAAGAAGUGCAGACCGACAGGAGCCGGAUGUAG